rnacentral:rRNA from 1 species
GACGGACGCUGGCGGCGUGCUUAACACAUGCAAGUCGAACGGAAAGGCCCUGCUUUUGUGGGGUGCUCGAGUGGCGAACGGGUGAGUAACACGUGAGUAACCUGCCCUUGACUUUGGGAUAACUUCAGGAAACUGGGGCUAAUACCGGAUAGGAGCUCCUGCUGCAUGGUGGGGGUUGGAAAGUUUCGGCGGUUGGGGAUGGACUCGCGGCUUAUCAGCUUGUUGGUGGGGUAGUGGCUUACCAAGGCUUUGACGGGUAGCCGGCCUGAGAGGGUGACCGGCCACAUUGGGACUGAGAUACGGCCCAGACUCCUACGGGAGGCAGCAGUGGGGAAUAUUGCACAAUGGGCGGAAGCCUGAUGCAGCAACGCCGCGUGCGGGAUGACGGCCUUCGGGUUGUAAACCGCUUUCGCCUGUGACGAAGCGUGAGUGACGGUAAUGGGUAAAGAAGCACCGGCUAACUAUGUG